AUAAACUCGGGGGACUGCUGACUAUAAACUUUUCUCAAACCAGAGGAAGGUUGCGGCAAUAACAGGUCUGUGAUGCCCUCAGAUGUUCCGGGCUGCACACGUGCUACAUUUAGUAGCGCAGUGUGCACAUUAAUAGAGUGAUAGGUUCCGUGGUUUGUACAUUUUAAGGGCUCGUCCUAGUAACCAAAGCUCCACGGGACAUAUCAACCUUCCCCUUACAGGGCGGGUAACCUCUUCGAAGUGCUGGCAUGAUUUCCCUAGUUUUGGCAUUUGAAUCCUUGUCGCAGCAGCCCUGAGACGUAGUGAACGCUGCAAAGUGAUUCCAGUCUUAGGUUUGCGACACAUGCAAUUCCUGGUUGACUCAUCGUGGGGACUGAUUCUUGUAAUUAUUUUUCACGGUUCAACCAGGAAUGCCUUGUACCGGCGGCU
rnacentral:rRNA from 1 species